rnacentral:rRNA from 1 species
AUUGAACGCUGGCGGCAUGCUUUACACAUGCAAGUCGAACGGUAACAGGGAGCUUGCUCCGCUGACGAGUGGCGAACGGGUGAGUAAUAUAUCGGAACGUACCCAAGAGUGGGGGAUAACGUAGCGAAAGUUACGCUAAUACCGCAUACGAUCUAAGGAUGAAAGCAGGGGACCUUCGGGCCUUGUGCUCCUGGAGCGGCCGAUAUCUGAUUAGCUAGUUGGUGAGGUAAAGGCUCACCAAGGCGACGAUCAGUAGCUGGUCUGAGAGGACGACCAGCCACACUGGAACUGAGACACGGUCCAGACUCCUACGGGAGGCAGCAGUGGGGAAUUUUGGACAAUGGGCGCAAGCCUGAUCCAGCAAUGCCGCGUGAAUGAAGAAGGCCUUCGGGUUGUAAAGCUCUUUUGUCAGGGAAGAAACGGGAUUGGCUAAUAUCCAGUCCUAAUGACGGUACCUGAAGAAUAAGCACCGGCUAACUACGUG